ensembl:snoRNA LOC120094509 small nucleolar RNA SNORA17
CCUUCCCUGAGAGGUGUGGCAGGUGUGGCUGCUCUGUCCUGUGCAUCAGUAGGUGGCAGAGAGGAAAGAGGCCAUAUCUACCCUCAUCGUUCUCUGUCCUGUGAGCAUCUUAAUGAUUAGUAGCCUAGCACU